AGUUUGGACUUUUGAAAUAUGAGAUCCUUUGGUAGGGCUGUAUAGUACUUAAGAAUAAUGGCAUUGUUGCACUUUGGUAGGGUUAAUGUAUGAUAAAAAACCUUGAUUGGGUUGGGUCCAUUCUUCUAAGCAAGGGUCUUAUCCUUUACGUCGACAUAUUUUAGUUCUCAUCCAAAAAUUUACACAAAUUUAUUUCUUGUUC
rnacentral:lncRNA from 1 species